rnacentral:lncRNA from 1 species
GUUUUUCAAGACACAGGAGAGGUCGGGUUGAAACAUUACUGAUGUUUCACGUUAAAAAUGGCUCUAAAGAUUGAUGCUAAACAACGUUUGACAUGUUUGAACGAACGUAAAUAGAUUAUUUUUUUUACUUUUCGCCGUGACUUCCCCCCGGCUACUUUUUAGUAGCCUACCGAAGCGCUAACAACUUGGAGUUAUUUGGACAUCAAUUAUGAACUUUGUUGAAAGAAACCACAUUUGUUGUGGACAGGGGAUUCCUGGAAGUGCCAAUGGAUGAAGAUAAUCAAAGGCAGGAGGAUUUCAUGUGUGCCGAGGAAGUUGGCCUUAACCCUCGACCAACUGCAAGGACACACACCUCUCAUCUACUCUAUGUGCAGAAGAAGCUCUAAGACCGAGGCAUUCAAAGGGAACAGAGCUAUCAUCAAAGCUUCAUACCAGGGAGUCUUUGGCCAGCAAAGCAUUACAACCUAACCUAGGGGCUGUUAUCGACUCAGUCGUAAAGAUGGUGAAUCAAGAAGAGACCUCUUCAAACAAGGCUGUUCAGAGAGCAUUGCAAGGAGAUGGCAGCAGAUCAUGAGCACCUGCUCUUUCAUUGUGAGGUUAGGUGGUUGUCCAGGGGGAGGGUCCUGGAGAGGCUGUGGGAACUGAGAG